rnacentral:rRNA from 1 species
UACGUAGGUGGCAAGCGUUGUCCGGAUUUAUUGGGUUUAAAGGGUGCGUAGGCGGUUCAUUAAGUCAGUGGUGAAAUCCGGCAGCUUAACUGUCGAGGUGCCAUUGAUACUGGUGAACUUGAGUACUGAUGAGGUAGGCGGAAUGGACGGUGUAGCGGUGAAAUGCUUAGAGAUCGUCCAGAACACCGAUAGCGAAGGCAGCUUACUAAGGAGUAACUGACGCUGAGGCACGAAAGUGUGGGGAUCAAACAGG